AAGUCGGAGUCGCUAGUAAUCGCAGAUCAGCAACGCUGCGGUGAAUACGUUCCCGGCCUUGUACACACCGCCCGUCACGUCAUGAAAGUCGGUAACACCCGAAGCCGGUGGCCUAACCCUUGUGGAGGGAGCCGUCGAAGGUGGGAUCGGCGAUUGGGACGAAGUCGUAACAAGGUAGCCGUACCGGAAGGUGCGGCUGGAUCACCUCCUUUCUAAGGAG
rnacentral:rRNA from 1 species